GCCCUUGCCCAGAGUCUUCCCGGGAUUGGCUGCGGGCCUCGCGACCCUCCUGCUUCCCUCCCCGCCCCGCGCCGCCUCUCUGGUUUGUGCGCCCGUCGCAGGUCGCAGGCCUCUUUGUCAGCUGGAGUUGCGCGGGCUGACGCGCCACUAUGUAGCGGGUUUCGGGCGGGCCACGCGUGCGGGACAGGAACCCAACCCCAGCCGACCUUGAGCUCCAGGAGUUCGUCUCUUACGUCUGCGGAAGUGCAGCUGCCUCAGUUCUUAGCGCAGGUUGACAACUACAGGCACAAGCCAUUGAAGCUGGAAUGUCCUGUUGCUGGUAAAGAAAUGGAUUAGUGAUAACUCAAGUUUCAUCACCUCUCUACAAGUUUCACGCUGUUUAAGUCAUGAACCUACAAAAGCCUGUGAAAAAAUCUUUGAAGAUGCUCAGCUUGUUUCAGUCUGAAAUUUCUCCAAGACCAAUGAACAAAACAGGAUCAUGCCCUGAAUACACACCCAAGCUGCAGGCUCCUGCUUAGCCCUAUUUUGGUUUGGCCUCCAUGAGAUCUUCAGCCACAAUAGCAGGAGAUAAAAAUCUUCCUAGAAGCUUUCAUCAGCUGCAAGUUUUCUUACAGAAUGAAACUUUUCUGCUAUUUUUCUCAUAGUUAAUUGGCUAUUUGAGAAAACCGAAUUUCUGGCUCUCAGCAUUUAAUUGGAUUCUGUGGGUGACUGGAUGACCGCUUUGCACAUCACCAUGGGUAUCAUCCUUACCUUCUUUAAACCUUUUGUGCCAGUCAAAAAUUCUUGCUCUUGAUAUGUCAUCACCGGAAACUACUUUUUUUUUUUGUUUCUCUUUUGUGACAGGGUCUUCCUCUGUCACCCAGGCUGGAUGGAGUAUAGUGGAACAAUCAUAGUUCACUGCGGCCUUGGUACCCUAGGCUCAAGCGAUCCUCCCACCUCAGCCUCCUGAGUAGGUGGGACCACAGGUGUGUACCACCAGACCUGGCUAAUUUUGUUAUUGUUGUUUUUUAUAGAGGUGGGGGGGUCUCCCUAUGUUGCCCAGGCCUGUCUUGAACUCACGGGCUCAAGUGAUCCUCCUGCCUCAGCCUCCCAAAGUUCUGGGAUUACAGGGGUGAGCCACUGGACCCAGCCAGAAACUACUUUUAACAGUUCUAAUUGCCACUUGUCUUGGCUGUAUAUUCAGAAAUAG